UGUCCUGGAGCCAGCAACGGCGGCUGCAGCUUGACGAUGCGGGCGUCAACAACUUGCUUCAGGGGCUGCGGGCCGUGAACGGCGUUGUGCUCGCGCGCGAGACCCGUGUCUGAUUUGGAAAGAAUCAAUCCGGUGAAAAAGAAGGCCAAUGCAACUGCUCUCUAGCUAGGCACUGGAGUAGCUGCACCCCCAAUGGAAUGGCAAGCAACAACAAACAGACUUUGCUGUUUUUCAGUCUACUGAGAUAUUUGUUGCGCAUCACCGAGGAACACCAGCAAAGGCGUGAAGAAAUACUCGCAAUCAGUGUGACAUGUCGUGUGAGAUGCAGGUGGCAAACCAUCCAAACUUGAAGCCAAGCAUGUGAUGGAUCCGCCAUGGAUGAUGGAUGGACCGAAGGAAGAUUGAACCGCCUUUUGGUUUAGGUAGAAGCACCCAUUGAUGUUGGAGAAGUUUUAGAAGAAAUGCAAGAGAAGGAUGUAGUUCUAGGGUGGUCUGCAUAUAGCAUGGUUUCUAUAUACCCGAGUGCUGGUUUGGUUUUAAAAAACAGUCCGCUCCGAAGAAACUCAAGGGCCUUGCUUUUAGAAGGUAACAUAAAUAUCUAGAUUGAUCGUUCAUGGUUCUGGGGCUGUUUGUUACAGUUCA